GACGAACGCUGGCGGCGUGCUUAACACAUGCAAGUCGAACGGAAAGGCCUGUCCUUCCUUGUGUUGGACGGGUACUCGAGUGGCGAACGGGUGAGUAACACGUGAGUGAUCUGCCCCCAACUUGGGUAUAAGCCUGGGAAACUGGGUCUAAUUCCCGAUAGGACUGCAGGGUGGUGCCUGUGGUGGAAAACGAUUUUCUAGUGGUUGGGGAUGAGCUCGCGGCCUAUCAGCUUGUUGGUGGGGUAAUGGCCUACCAAGGCGGCGACGGGUAGCCGGCCUGAGAGGGUGGACGGCCACAUUGGGACUGAGAUACGGCCCAGACUCCUACGGGAGGCAGCAGUGGGGAAUAUUGCACAAGGGGCGGAAGCCUGAUGCAGCGACGCCGCGUGGGGGAUGACGGCCUUCGGGUUGUAAACUCCUUUCGACCGCGAGGAAGCCGCCUGGUUGGAAGGGUGGUGACGGUAGUGGUAGAAGAAGCACCGGCUAACUACGUG
rnacentral:rRNA from 1 species